AUGGCUCGCACGGCGGAGGAGAAGUCACGGGCUCGCGGCACGGCGCUGUGGCGGCUGCUCCGGCCGCUUGCCGUGCUGGGGCCGCGGAUGCAGAGGAGGAGGGAGGCGGCGGUGCCAUUCCGCGGCCAGGUGCGGAACACGGCGGCGGCGUCGCUGCUGCUCCUGCUCUCGCUGAGCCACGUCCCGCUCUACGCCGGCGCCGGCGACGCCGACCCCGACCCGCUGUUCUGGGCGCGGCCCCUCCUCGCCGCGCCCCGCGGCACAGUGAUGGAGCUCGGCGUCGCCCCCGUCGUCACGUCGUGGGUGGUGGUGCGCCUCCUCGCCGCCCUCCUCUUCGACUCCGACUCCUCAACCACCGUGGCCUCCUGUGAGUUACUAGCUCGAUGCCUCGCUUACGUCACGAACGCGUCGCGGUUGGUGAUCGGGAUCGCGGCGGCGCUUGGGAUGUGCGGGAGCGGCGGAGCGGGCAACGCGGCGCUCGUCGUGCUCCAGCUCUUCGCCGGCGGCGUGGUCGUCGUGCUGGCCGACCUCCUCCACGAGACGGGCUACGGCGUGGAGGGCGUCUCCGCCGCCUCCUUGCUCAUCGCCACCAACGCCUGCGAGCGCGCGGUGUCGCACCUGUUCAGCCCCGUGAAGCUCCGCCUCGCCGGCGCCGGCCCGGAGUUCGAGGGGCCCGUGUUCGCCGUCACCCACCGCGUGGCCGCCGCGCCGCCGUCGUGGCGGCACAAGGCCGGGGCGCUCCUCUUCACGCUGCUCCGCCUGGACCUCCCCAACCUCUCCAACUACAUGACCACCUGCGUUAUGUUCGUCCUCGCCGUGCGCCUCGACGAGACCCACCUCCGGCGGCUGUACCGCUUCAGACCGCGCCGCGGCACCGACGAGUUCGUCCCAAUCAAGCUGCUCUACACCUCCGCGAUGCCCAUCAUGCUGCACGCCGCCGCCGUCUCGGCGUUCUGCGUCGACGCCGGCGGCGGCGCCGCCUACCCGGUGGGCGGCCUCGUCUACUACGUCACGCCGCCGUCGAAGCUGCUGGUGGAUCCCGGCCUGAUCCACGAGCUGCUGAUCCAUAGCGUGUUCGUCGUCGCGUCGUGCACGCUCCUCUCCAUGGCCUGGGCCGAGGCGACGCGGGUGAUCGGAACGGGAUACUUCGUGUGGGACGAGACUAGCCGUCGGAUCGACCGUGUCAUCCCGGCGGCCGCCGCCGUCGGUGGGCUCGCCGUCUACGCCGGCGCCGUUGGAGCUAUUGGAGAAGCUGGUCCUGAACUUUUGUUCGCAGUUUUAGUCAUCAAGAACCUGGCCGAAACCUUCUACGCUAAAUCCAAGCUUAUUACUACCUAUAGCUAGAUAAAUUAUU
rnacentral:lncRNA from 1 species